rnacentral:lncRNA from 1 species
UAGCAGUAGCCUUUUCGACGUGAUCUACGCUCUGCUUCGCCAGAUUAUCAGCUUCAGUACUAUCCAAGCCUUGGAUAGCAGCCUGCUUCGCCUUAGCAUCAGAAAUCUUCUUCUGCAAUUAUGCAAUGUGAAAUUCCCAGAGUUGUAUCGAAGUAGUAUAGGUGUCGAAUUCUGCUUGGGCUGAUUUUCUAGAAGCGGCUAACUCCUCAGAGGCUUUUGAAGUUCGAAGGGUGUUAUCAAACUCAGUAGCUUGAGCUUGUUCAGUUGAUUGAAUCUUUGCUUUG